rnacentral:tRNA from 1 species
GGAGAGUUGGGGGAGUUGGCUUAACCCAUCGUCCUGCUAAGACGACGUACCUCAAAAGGGUGCCACUAGUUCGAAUCUAGUACUCUCCG